rnacentral:lncRNA from 1 species
CCUGGAAAUCAUUUGUGCCCUCUGCCUGCUGGGCACAGAGUUCGCCGCACAUGCUGGAUCUAGGUCCAGGUCUGCACCCAGCCUGAGUGACCGAUGGUGGCCAGGGGCGAGAGGUAUUCUCCAGGAAUCAGGAACAGACUAAAUGGAAACUCAGCGGUACCCAGCAACCCAUGAUGGCGAGCUUGGCACUCCCCACGACUCCAAACAGUGUGCCCCAGAUGAUUCAAUGUUUCUUGCAGGGGUCUCUGCUGUGAUAUUCCGGAAGCUGCAGCACCACUGCAGCAGGGAAGGCCAGGAACGUUGAAAGAACUGCACCUCGAGGGAGAGGUCUUGUGAGUUCAGCCCUGGCCAGGCACCAACUGCAACCCGACAAUUGCUGGGGAGAUCACACUGGUCUCCAGGGUCAGUUAUGACUUGAAAAUUCUAUUUAUACCCUUUUAAAAGAAGAGCAGAC